rnacentral:rRNA from 1 species
AGUGAACGCUGGCGGUAGGCCUAACACAUGCAAGUCGAACGGCAGCACAGAGGAGCUUGCUCCUUGGGUGGCGAGUGGCGGACGGGUGAGGAAUACAUCGGAAUCUACUCUGUCGUGGGGGAUAACGUAGGGAAACUUACGCUAAUACCGCAUACGACCUACGGGUGAAAGCAGGGGAUCUUCGGACCUUGCGCGAUUGAAUGAGCCGAUGUCGGAUUAGCUAGUUGGCGGGGUAAAGGCCCACCAAGGCGACGAUCCGUAGCUGGUCUGAGAGGAUGAUCAGCCACACUGGAACUGAGACACGGUCCAGACUCCUACGGGAGGCAGCAGUGGGGAAUAUUGGACAAUGGGCGCAAGCCUGAUCCAGCCAUACCGCGUGGGUGAAGAAGGCCUUCGGGUUGUAAAGCCCUUUUGUUGGGAAAGAAAUCCAGCCGGCUAAUACCUGGUUGGGAUGACGGUACCCAAAGAAUAAGCACCGGCUAACUUCGUGCCAGCAGCCGCGGUAAUACGAAGGGUGCAAGCGUUACUCGGAAUUACUGGGCGUAAAGCGUGCGUAGGUGGUUAUUUAAGUCCGUUGUGAAAGCCCUGGUCUCAACCUGGGAACUGCAGUGGAUACUGGAUGACUAGAAUGUGGUAGAGGGUAGCGGAAUUCCUGGUGUAGCAGUGAAAAUGCGUAAGAUCAGGAGGAACAUCCAUGGCGAAGGCAGCUACCUGGACCACAUUGACUUUGAUGCACAAAACGUGGGGAGAAACAGG